GUAUGGUGGAGCUGAGGGCGAGAUUCAUCAAAUUAAUCACCCUCCGCCAAGAGGGGAAUGAGGUGGGUGGUAUGGCACAAGUGUUCUGGACCCUGGUGGCUGGAAUGGGAUAUAAUGAUGCGGCCCUGAAAGACAUUUUCAACACCGGUCUGGAUGACCCGGUGCCAAGAAAGGAAAUGGAUCAGUUGGACGCUUCUGAUUUCUGGGAAUUCGUUUUCUACCUACAACAUCAGCCUCCGUGGGAUACCCCAGCCACACCUGUCUCUCCCGCCAGCCCAGCACCACUGCACAGUAUGGCCGCCAGCCCAGCGCCACAGCACAAGUUGGUCGCCGGCCCAGCGCCACAGCACAAGUUGGUCGCCGGCCCAGCGCCACAGCACAAGGUGGUCGCCGGCCCAGUGCCACGCCGCAAGGUGGCCGCCAGCCAGCACAAGUUGGUCGACUGGCCCAGCGCCACAGCACAAGGUGGUCGCCAGCCCAGCACCACGGCGCAAGAUGGCCGCCAGCCCAGCACCACACCGCAAGAUGGCCACCAGCCCAGUGCCACUGCACAAGUUGGCCGCCGGCCCAGCACCACUGCACAAGAUGGCCGCCGGUCCAGAGUCAUGGCACAAUAUGGACGCCUGUCCAGCGACUCUGCACAAGUUGACAGCCACAGUUGACCCUCCAGAGUCGAGUCAGGUUCCCAUUGACCCUUCAGAGUUGAGUCAGGUUCCUGUUGACCCUCCAGAGUUGAGUCAGGUUCCCGUUGACCCUCAUCAGUUAAACACUACCAAAGUUAGACCUCAGGAGUCAAGUCAAGUCACCGGUGAUCUUCAAGUACAAAGUCAAGUCACCGGUGUUCUUCAUGGGCAAAGUCAAGUCACCGACUAUCUUCAUGGGCAAGGGCCAUUGAUCUUCAUGAGCAGAGUCAGGUCACCAUUGAUGUUCCUGAAUCCAGUCUAAACACCACGGAACUACCAGAGCCUCUCCACAUCUCUGCCGAACUACCAGAGCCUCUC
rnacentral:lncRNA from 1 species